rnacentral:rRNA from 1 species
UAGGGAAUAUUAGAAAUGGACGAAAGUCUGAUCUAGCAACACCGCGUGUGCGAAGAAGGCCUUCGGGUUGUAAAGCACUUUUUGGAAGGAUUAGGAAGGAAUGUACUUCCAGAAUAAGUCUCGGCUAACUACGUGCCGGCAGCCGCGGUAACACGUAGGAGGCAAACGUUAUCCGGAUUUACUGGGCGUAAAGCGCGUGUAGGUGGUUCUGUAAGUAGGGCGUGAAAGCUCCUGGCUCAACUGGGAGAGGCCGUUCUAAACUGCAGAGCGAGAGGAUGGUAGAGGGAGGUGGAAUUCCGGGUGUAGCGGUGGAAUGCGCAGAUAUCCGGAGGAACACCAGUGGCGAGAGCGGCCUCAUGGGCCAUUCCUGACACUCAGACGCGAAAGCUAGGGUAGCAAACGG